GAUUGGCAGACCUGUGCGGAAUGUGCGAAUCCAUACCUCUGAGUAUCUGAAGGCAUUCAAAGAGAGCGAGCCCAGGAAGGCUGUGGCCUUGAUCCUGCAGGCUGUCUUCCCCACCAGUGUACUCGCAUGUAGUGGUGUCAUUGGCGACGUGGCCAGGGGCAUACAGCAGCUCGAUCCCAAUAAAGUUGAAGCCAUAAGAGAAUGGCUUGCAGAAAUGUUCCCACGCCACGACCUAGGUGUGAAAGGGGCAGACUGGGCUGAUUGUUUGGGGGUCAUUAAUAACGUGAUGAAGGGGCUGCGUAGUAUGAAGAGAUAAGUUCAAAUGAAAACUGGACAAGAUCUGACCAAUGCAAGAUGACUACUAAGAGGGACACACCUCAACAGCAGCAUAUCUUCCUAUGACAACUCUGCCAGAGAUUCAGGAGAAUGAAAACAGUGACAUGGGACACCUGGGAGUGGAAAAAAAGAAAACCUCUUCUCUCUACGUGGGCAAUGCCUGCAGAUUAGAAUAAGUUAUUCCUUACUGGUAGUAGUUAGACAAGGCUAACACAAAUCAGUUGUUACAUUUAAAGAAAUACCUUGCUAAUGGAAUUAAUGGAUACCAUGAUGAGCAGUUCUGUGUUGCCAUUUUAACAACCAUUUUCACUUUGUUGUGUCAGCAGGGCAGAACAGGCUGCUUUUAGAUUACUAAUUUUGUUUUCACUUAUGGAGGGACAAUUUGCUGGAAAGUCUUUACAGCAUACAUUUGCAUUACAGUGUUUUACAACCAGAAAUUUUCUUGCUCUUUCAUUAAAUUUUUCUUAAUAAAAUUCUGUACCUUUUGAAGAAUUUGCUAUGCUUUUUCGAUCUUCAAAACACAUUUAAAAUGGUAAGAACCCA